rnacentral:siRNA from 1 species
UCUGUUCUAUUGGGUUGUUGC